UAAUAAUUUAAUGUUUUGAUAAAAAAAAAAUCGAUCCAGAGUCAAAAUUAUAAUAUUGUGUAUACGAUUACUACCGAAAAUGCUCACCGUUAAAAUUACGAUGGUACCUCUGAAUAGCGGACACCCUCGGCCGUCGAAAUUUCAUUCGCUAUUCGGAGAGGUAAAUUUUCGAAAUUCACAAAGGGUAAACGAGUAAAAGGAGCUGGGUAAAUUCAGGUAUGCACACUGCGGUUUACGUAUGAUGUUUUGACGAUACAAUAAUAAUUUUAAGAUCUAUGUAUGUAUGUAUAUAUGACUCAAGCAUGCGGUGGCGUAUAUAGAAAUUAGUUUGAGGGAGGUUUCUAAAAAGAGCUUUUGGGUCUAAGUAGAUACUUCAGUUGAUAUCAAAUAGUU